CCUUCCCUAACCCUAAGACUCUCUCCCCCAACCCCAACUCUAAAACCUAACCUUGCCCGUGCCACCAUGCUGUCACACGGUGUCCGCCCGCUUCCCCCAUCUCCUUGGAAGCAUCAUUUAGCUGCGGAAAAACUAAAACAAAAAAUUAAUUUACUUACCUGGACAGUUACCUGGAAUCCGGAAACAUCCGCGACCUGGAACAACAAAAAUACUUAUUAUUUACUGAUAUGGGAAGGACUAUACCCUUAGGACAUAUAAUAAAUUAAAUUAAGCGGCAGUGCCGAACAGGGGGCGGGGCUUCCCCCACUAUAUAAAUAGAAGAGCUGCAGUGCAGGUGAUCAUUUGGACGGCUGGAGCCGAUGGUGUGACACCCUUAGAGCACCGACAUGGGAUAAGGCCUAGUUGGCAUCCCAAUAUCUGAGGCCUAGUGGGCAUGGGAUAACGCCUAGUGGGCAUCCCAAUAAUUUAAUGGUUAGGGUUAGGGAUAUGAGACUGUGACCCCAGCGUCCCAGGGCCACAGGAGUGCACUGUCCAAUCCGAGUCCAUCCAUAUAUCCCCAACUGGGGCUUUGUUUAAUUUAAUUUAAAUCCUUUUUGUUUUAAUUUUCCAGGGGCGACGGAGCAGAAGGAUCCAGGAGAGGUAAGUGAUCCGGAGGAGCAGGAGGAGGAGCAACGGCACAGACAAGUAAGUACUGACUUUUAAAUGUCCUCACUGAGGUUUUUAUAUAUAUCCCCUUUAUUAUUUCUUCUCCUAUACUCUAGCUCGGACGUGGCUGACCAGACCUACGCCGGCUCAGGAGCGCUGCCCUGUGUACGGUGCCGGCGCAGCUACCGGUGUCCCCCGGAGGCACAUCCCAGUGCCGGUGACCCCCCAAGGGGCGAUGAAGUAAACGGAUCCAGAGGAGUCCAAGACGACAGGUAAGUGGUCCGGAGGAGCAGAUGGAGGAGCAGCGACGCAGACAGGUAAGUAUAACCGUUUUCCUGCAACAGGGCAUUCCCCCACUGGGGCUUUGGGUCCCCCACUGGGGCUUUGGGUUCCACACUUUAUAAUUAUUAAUAUUUCCAAACUGUGGUUCAGUAUUCCCAUCUCCGGUUAUUUCCUUAC